GAACCGGGAAACAGGGUGCUGAGGAGUGCCCAGGCACUCUUCCCCUAGUGGGCAGGGCAGAGAGACUGUGAAAGGUGGAGAUGAAGGAGAGCCAUCAUUUCACUCUUGAGAAAGGACGGAGCAGGCUGUGUGGAAGAGAUGAGAUCUGGGAUAAAUUGGAAAAGGUAUCAAAAAAUUAGGAGGGAAGAAAUAUUUUCAGCAAGUCUGCUACCACACUCCUCAAAUUCAACUAAGAGUGGUGAUUUAAGGUCAGAAAAGCUCCGCAUCCAGAAACUACACCUCUACUCACGUUGAAGAUUUUUGCAUUCCUAAUAAUACAGUGAUUCUACUUUUAGAUGGUCACAGGACGGCUGCCUCAGCUCCAAACAGCAACAUCUGAAGGAGAAAGCUGCAGGCCCGGACUGGAUGGCUUUGGCUAAGGAACCAACGCAGGUGGAGAAGGAGGCUGACGAUGGAGCCCAGGCACUCCAGCCUUGAAGGAGGAGAACCUGACCCUGAGCCUGCAUGGCAGCCGUGCGGGGGGACUUCGGGGGGUUUCCCCUUUGCUUCCAUCCAAAGAAAGUGCCCCACGUUUGAAAGCCUCUGUGCUGAAUGCUCCCAAUGCCCUCCGAUUCCAUCUAGGUCGUCCCUACCACCAAGGCAGAGCAAGAUACUAAAUGGAUGUCAUUUCUGGGCACUUACAUAAUUGGCUAAGGCUGGUCUCAGCGGAAAACAGCCGCUGGCCCUGUCCACACACACACGCGGACCCACGGGGCCACUUGGAAGUCGGACGCUCCUGGCCUGACACUGCAUUGUCUCCAGCAGAAUGAGAAACACAGCAGAGAGGGAAUGGUCAACCCCAGAGCACUGGCCACUUUGGGAAAAUGGACAUCUCCUCUCCUCUGGCUGAAGGAAAGUAAGAAGACACGGUGUUGCCCCAGGCUAUGUAGCCCACAACAAUUUUCCAUCCAAAUGCAUGAGCCCGGGUUCCCGAUGAAGACUUGGCUUCUCCUGAGCCCGGGGG
rnacentral:lncRNA from 1 species